rnacentral:rRNA from 1 species
UCCGAUGCUUAUUUCUAGAGAUAGAAAGUUACUUCGGUACAUCGGUGACAGGUGGUGCAUGGUUGUCGUCAGCUCGUGUCGUGAGAUUGUUGGGUUAAGUCCCGCAACGAGCGCAACCCCUAUUGUUAGUUGCCAUCAUUCAGUUGGGCACUCUGGCGAGACUGCCGGUAAUAACCGGAGAAGUGGGGAUGACGUCAAAUCAUCAUGCCCCUUAUGACCUGGGCUACACACGUGCUACAAUGGUUGGUACAACGAGUUGCGAGUCGGUGACGGCGAGCUAAUCUCUUAAAGCCAAUCUCAGUUCGGAUUGUAGGCUGCAACUCGCCUACAUGAAGUCGGAAUCGCUAGUAAUCGCGGAUCAGCACGCCGCGGUGAAUACGUUCCCGGGCCUU